ensembl:snRNA U2 U2 spliceosomal RNA
AUCACUUCUUUACUUUUUUGGCUAAAAUCGAGUGUAUUAUCUUUUCUUAUAAGGCUAAUAUCUGAUGUUUUCUCUAUCUUAGGACAAUAUUUUAAAUGGAGUUUUGAAUUUUGAGAGAUGGAAUAGAAACUUGCUCUAUGCACUACCUACUUCAACCUGGUACUUAGUACCUCCAGGAAUAGUACACCCCAU